UUUAUAAAAGAGAUCAGUCGUCGAGCUCGCAGCCUCUAUAUCUCCCUCUCUUCGAAGCUCUUUGUUUAAAAAUUUUCAAAUUUAUUUUUGCAUAUUAAGAUCUAACCUUUUCAUUUGCAGACGCACUCUCAGAUCCCAGCUCUAGAACUUCAAUUCUCUCCCUAAAAGUUUGUAGACAAAUGGGAGAAACAAGAGACAACGAUGUCUACGAGGAAGAUCUCCUCGAUUACGAUGAAGAAGAAGAGAAAGCCCCUGACUCUGUCACUGCUAAAGUCAAUGGCGAGGCCGGCAAGAAGGGCUAUGUUGGGAUUCACAGUUCUGGAUUCAGAGACUUCCUUUUGAAACCAGAGCUUCUUCGGGCCAUUGUCGAUUCUGGAUUCGAGCACCCUUCCGAAGUGCAACAUGAAUGUAUUCCCCAAGCUAUACUGGGUAUGGAUGUUAUUUGCCAAGCUAAAUCAGGAAUGGGGAAGACUGCAGUUUUUGUUCUAUCUUCAUUACAGCAAAUUGAACCAAGUCCUGGGCAAGUUAUUGCCCUCGUUUUAUGCCAUACAAGGGAGUUAGCUUACCAGAUUUGUCAUGAGUUCGAGAGGUUCAGUACUUAUCUGCCUGAUAUCAAGGUUGCUGUCUUCUAUGGUGGUGUCAACAUCAAAGUUCACAAAGAUUUGCUGAAAAAUGAAUGCCCUCACAUUGUUGUUGGGACCCCUGGAAGAAUUUUGGCUCUGACCAGAGACAAGGACCUUUCUUUGAAGAAUGUGAGGCAUUUCAUUCUCGAUGAAUGUGACAAGAUGCUGGAAUCACUUGACAUGAGGAGAGACGUGCAGGAGAUUUUCAAGAUGACCCCUCAUGAUAAGCAAGUUAUGAUGUUUUCAGCCACACUCAGCAAAGAAAUACGCCCUGUUUGCAAGAAAUUCAUGCAAGAUCCUAUGGAAAUUUACGUUGACGACGAGGCCAAGUUGACCCUUCAUGGUCUUGUGCAGCACUACAUCAAAUUGAGUGAACUGGAGAAAAACCGCAAGUUGAAUGACCUCCUUGAUGCGUUGGACUUCAAUCAAGUUGUUAUCUUUGUCAAAAGUGUGAGCCGAGCAGCUGAGUUGAACAAGUUACUUGUGGAGUGCAAUUUUCCUUCCAUAUGCAUCCACUCUGGCAUGUCUCAGGAAGAAAGGUUAACUCGCUACAAGGGUUUCAAGGAGGGGCAUAAAAGAAUUCUUGUGGCAACCGAUUUGGUUGGAAGGGGAAUCGACAUUGAACGAGUUAACAUCGUCAUCAACUAUGACAUGCCUGAUUCUGCUGAUACAUACCUGCACAGGGUUGGUAGAGCUGGUCGGUUUGGCACCAAGGGUCUUGCAAUUACAUUUGUUUCAUCCGCUUCAGAUUCUGAUGUGCUCAAUCAGGUCCAAGAGAGGUUUGAGGUUGAUAUAAAGGAGCUUCCUGAGCAGAUUGAUACAUCUACGUACAUGCCAUCAUAAAUGAAGGUUCAUUGAACAAUACCAGUCUCGGGCCCCAAAUCAUGAAUCGGUUAGUGUGGUUGCGGAUGUGUAUCUGUUUGUAAACUAAUGUGUAACGCUUUUUAAAUCAGUUGCUUGGGAGGGAGCGGCAGAUGCAGUAUCACGUGGUUUUGAACUGCUGCUUAAAAGAGUAUUGUAGGUUUAUAAAAACUCAAUUGAGGAUUUAGCUAUAUCAAUAGCGGUCUGUGGUGUAACUUACCCAGGGGUUCAUUGAAGUUGUGCUAAUGAUGAAGGCCAUCAUUUGCAUGGACAGCGACUGAUUUGUGUAUUAAUUAUUUUCCCGGUUUUGUUGGACCAGAGAGUGAGAGAUUCAACCAUUAACUAUAGAGUUGAGCUCCACACUACAAGCCAUUUCUGUAGACAUUGUGUAAAUGAAUACAAGCAUCCUAUGAAGGCAAUGCCACCCAUAUGAUCUGUGAAGAUGCUUUAUCUUGAAACCUCUCAGUUUCUUAGCGGCGUUAAUUGCAUGAACCAAAGGCAAUUGAUCGCAUGUGAUCGGCUAAGACGUGCUCUUAGCCUUUGUUAAUUACGUCUUACAGUCUACAUUGGGUAUGCACCAACUUGAUGUCUGUAGAUUUUGGAUCUUUUAAGCCACCGAUUCUUUUGGGCUUGAAGCAUAUGUUUGGUGGUAUAACAAAGGUGAAGAAAGUAUCUACCCGUCUUUAAAUCUUUGAUUGUUUAAUCUUUGAACAUGGCACUUUAAUUUUUUUAAAAAUUACAGCUUUUAUCA